rnacentral:rRNA from 1 species
UGUGCUUGCACAUCGCUGACGAGUGGCGGACGGGUGCGUAAUGCUUGGGAACUUGCCUUUGCGAGGGGGAUAACAGUUGGAAACGACUGCUAAUACCGCAUAAUGUCUUCGGACCAAACGGGGCUUAGGCUCCGGCGCAAAGAGAGGCCCAAGUGAGAUUAGCUAGUUGGUAAGGUAACGGCUUACCAAGGCGACGAUCUCUAGCUGUUCUGAGAGGAAGAUCAGCCACACUGGGACUGAGACACGGCCCAGACUCCUACGGGAGGCAGCAGUGGGGAAUAUUGCACAAUGGGGGAAACCCUGAUGCAGCCAUGCCGCGUGUGUGAAGAAGGCCUUCGGGUUGUAAAGCACUUUCAGUUGUGAGGAAAAGUUAGUAGUUAAUACCUGCUAGCCGUGACGUUAACAACAGAAGAAGCACCGGCUAACUCCGUGCCAGCAGCCGCGGUAAUACGGAGGGUGCGAGCGUUAAUCGGAAUUACUGGGCGUAAAGCGCACGCAGGCGGUUUGUUAAGCUAGAUGUGAAAGCCCCGGGCUCAACCUGGGAUGGUCAUUUAGAACUGGCAGACUAGAGUCUUGGAGAGGGGAGUGGAAUUCCAGGUGUAGCGGUGAAAUGCGUAGAUAUCUGGAGGAACGUCAGUGGCGAAGGCGACUCCCUGGCCAAAGACUGACGCUCAUGUGCGAAAGUGUGGGU